UACGUAGGGUGCGAGCGUUGUCCGGAAUUACUGGGCGUAAAGCGCACGUAGGCGGCUUUGCAAGUUAGAGGUGAAAGCCCGGGGCUCAACUCCGGAAUUGCCUUUAAAACUGCAUCGCUAGAAUUGUGGAGAGGUAAGUGGAAUUCCGAGUGUAGAGGUGAAAAUUCGUAGAUAUUCGGAAGAACACCAGUGGCGAAGGCGACUUACUGGACACAUAUUGACGCUGAGGUGCGAAAGCGUGGGGAGCAAACAGG
rnacentral:rRNA from 1 species